rnacentral:rRNA from 1 species
AGUGAACGCUGGCGGUAGGCCUAACACAUGCAAGUCGAACGGCAGCACAGUAAGAGCUUGCUCUUACGGGUGGCGAGUGGCGGACGGGUGAGGAAUACAUCGGAAUCUACUUUUUCGUGGGGGAUAACGUAGGGAAACUUACGCUAAUACCGCAUACGACCUACGGGUGAAAGCAGGGGAUCUUCGGACCUUGCGCGAUUGAAUGAGCCGAUGUCGGAUUAGCUAGUUGGCGGGGUAAAGGCCCACCAAGGCGACGAUACGUAGCUGGUCUGAGAGGAUGAUCAGCCACACUGGAACUGAGACACGGUCCAGACUCCUACGGGAGGGCGCAGUGGGGAAUAUUGGACAAUGGGCGCAAGCCUGAUCCAGCCAUACCGCGUGGGUGAAGAAGGCCUUCGGGUUGUAAAGCCCUUUUGUUGGGAAAGAAAAGCAGCAGGUUAAUACCCCGCUGUUCUGACGGUACCCAAAGAAUAAGCACCGGCUAACUUCGUG